GAAAUGCGAUAAGUAAUGUGAAUUGCAGAAUUCAGUGAAUCAUCGAAUCUUUGAACGCACAUUGCGCCCGCCAGUAUUCUGGCGGGCAUGCCUGUUCGAGCGUCAUUACAACCCUCAGGCCCCCGGGCCUGGCGUUGGGGAUCGGCGGAAGCCCCCUGCGGGCACAACGCCGUCCCCCAAAUACAGUGGCGGUCCCGCCGCAGCUUCCAUUGCGUAGUAGCUAACACCUCGCAACUGGAGAGCGGCGCGGCCACGCUGUAAAACACCCAACUUCUGAAUGUUGACCUCGAAUCAGGUAGGAAUACCCGCUGAACUUAAGC
rnacentral:misc_RNA from 1 species